GAUGAACGCUGGCGGCGUGCCUAACACAUGCAAGUCGAACGGAAAGACACUGAGCUUGUGCCGUUACCGUUAGCGGCUGGCGGGCGAGUGACGCGUGGAUCAUCUCCUUCUUUUUCGGGGAGCAUAACGGAACACGGGUUAUAAUACUACAGAAUAUCUUGAACCGGUGGGAGCAUUGGAGAAUGUCGGCUUUCGUGUAUGGACUAGCUGCUUCCGGAUUUGCUAGUUGGGUGGGUAAGGGCCCACCAAGGCGAGGAUCCGUAGCCUGGCGGAGAGGAGGAUCGGCCACACUGGAACUGGAACACGGUCCAGACUCCUACGGGAGGCAGCAGUGGGGAAUAUGGGGCAAUGGGCGCAAGCCUGACCCAGCCAGCCCGCGUGGGUGAAGAAGGCCUUCGGGUCGUAAAGCCCUUUUGUUGGGAAAGAACAGCUGUAGACUGAAACCCCGCUGUAGUGACGGUACCCAAUGAAGAAGCACCGGCUAACUACGUG
rnacentral:rRNA from 1 species